rnacentral:rRNA from 1 species
CCUACGGGAGGCUGCAGUGGGGAAUAUUGCACAAUGGGGGAAACACUGAUGCCGCGACGCCGCGUGAGUGCAGAAGUAUUUCGGUAUGUACAGCUCUAUCAGCAUGUGAGAAAAUGACGGUACCUGAUUAAGAAGCCCCGGCUAACUACGUGCCAGAAGCCGCGGUAAUACGUAGGGGGCAAGCGUUAUCCGGAUUGACUGGGUGUAAAGGGAGCGUAGACGGCAGCGCAAGUCUGAAGUGAAAUGCCGGGGCUUAACCCCGGAACUGCUUUGGACACUGGGCAGCUAGGGUGCAGGAGAGGUAAGUGGAAUUCCUAGUGUAGCGGUGAAAUGCGUAGAUAUUAGGAGGAACACCAGUGGCGAAGGCGGCUUACUGGACUGUAACUGACGUUGAGGCUCGAAAGCGUGGGGAGCAAACAGGAUUAGAUACCCCAGUAGUC